AGAUGGGACCAAGGAGGCCGGAGAAUGAGAACUGAGAUUGCUUCAAUCAAUGAGGACAAAAUUACAGGUUCUUCUCCCUCUAUGUCAGCAAUGAUCUCAAACAAGUAAAUGUCUAAUGAAAUAUUUAAUGCUGAAUUUCCAUUUCUUAAGAAACUUGGUGAUGAAAAUGUCAGUUGCACAAAAUUUUGGUUUACGUUUAUCAUCUACCUGACAUCGCCAGAAGACACAAAUACUCUGAAGCUGCAUGAGCAUCUAUUUCAAAAAGGACUACUUUAUCUGCAAACAUGUAGGUCUGGUUGCAUGUUAAUAAACCACCAGAAAAGAUACACAUUUUCAAGAGCUAUCAGAGGGUCUUCAAGGAGAUUCUCCCCAUUUUGAAUAAAGUUGAGCUAAUUGGCUAUCUUCUCCGACAUAUUAUGGAAUCAGGGGAAACAGCUUGUCAAUAGCAGAGCUCUGAGCCCUUUGGAAAACAACCGUCUUCUUAAAGCUAUGGAUCUCAUCUACAAGGAAAUCUCCUGUGGAAUGAGAGUGGGGUGCAGUGGAAGAGGCGGAAGGAGCCCACACAUUUGACAGCCUUCGUGAGAUUCAACUGCCCACAUUCACUACAUGUUUGCUGAGUUCCGGGCAUUAUGGAUGGAACAUUGAGCAAAGUUCGUGUCCGCAUGAAGACAUUCUGGUAAUCAAGGAAUUUCACCACUAGUUUUGAAUCCUCAGAGCUGCCUUGUGAAAUGGAUGAGGCACCCCUCAGAUGUGUGACACUAUUGCCUUACAGCUGAGAACACACACCAGUGACGUGAAUGUCCAAUGGCAGAACUGAUAGACUUCCAAGCCAGUGAACGAAGAAGCUGAAGAAGCUUGGAGUAUUCAGCCUUGAGACAAUGAACUACAAGAGCAACUGCUAUAAACUCUAGGUCCAUCUAAGACUAUUCCUUGAAGAAGGGAAACCCCUUUGCAUUAGACCAGAAGGGAACAAAGGAUGUGGGUUUAGAGACAGGAGGAGCUUGUUGGUAGCAGCCUUCUCCGAGGACUGUUGCACCUAAAAGGAAGUGGUGGAAGCUCCUGUCCUGGAGAAAACCUAGAUUCACAGCAACGCUGUAGACAGGACAUUUGACGGGGUCCGUGCUCAGGCGUUGGCACGUACAAACA